rnacentral:rRNA from 1 species
UGUGUAGGCGGUUUGGUAAGUCUGGUGUGAAAUCUCCCGGCUCAACUGGGAGGGUGCGCCGGAAACUGCCUGACUCGAGUGCGGGAGAGGAGAGUGGAAUUCCUGGUGUAGCGGUGAAAUGCGUAGAUAUCAGGAGGAACACCGGUGGUGUAGACGGCUCUCUGGACCGUAACUGACGCUGAAACACGAAAGCGUGGGUAGCAAACAGGAUUAGAUACCCUGGUAGUCCACGCCCUAAACGAUGCAUAUUUGGUGUGGGUCAUUCAGUUGAUCCGUGCCGGAGCUAACGCGUUAAAUAUGCCGCCUGGGGAGUACAGUCGCAAGGCUGAA